UACGGAGGAUCCGAGCGUUAUCCGGAUUUAUUGGGUUUAAAGGGUGCGCAGGCGGAAUAUUAAGUCGGCGGUGAAAUUUUGCAGCUCAACUGUAAAAGUGCCAUUGAUACUGGUUUUCUUGAGUGUAGAUGAAGUAGGCGGAAUUUGUGGUGUAGCGGUGAAAUGCAUAGAUAUCACGAGGAACUCCGAUUGCGCAGGCAGCUUACUAAACUAUAACUGACGCUCAGGCACGAAGGCGUGGGGAUCAAACAGGAUUAGAUACCCCGGUA
rnacentral:rRNA from 1 species